rnacentral:rRNA from 1 species
UACGUAGGGUGCAAGCGUUAAUCGGAAUUACUGGGCGUAAAGCGUGCGCAGGCGGUUUUGUAAGUCUGACGUGAAAUCCCCGGGCUCAACCUGGGAAUUGCGUUGGAGACUGCAAGGCUAGAAUCUGGCAGAGGGGGGUAGAAUUCCACGUGUAGCAGUGAAAUGCGUAGAGAUGUGGAGGAACACCGAUGGCGAAGGCAGCCCCCUGGGUCAACAUUGACGCUCAUGCACGAAAGCGUGGGGAGCAAACAGG